AAAAAGAAAUCCUAGUGAAAGGUGGGGGUGCUGGCUCUUGUUCUUCUUGCUCAUGGUGGUUAAGCCCAGCAAAGGCCCGUCAGCUCCUGGCACGGCUGCCAGAGAGCUCAGUCCCACUGCAUGUUUGAGCAGGUCACAGGGAAACGUUUGCCAUCCCUAUGGACAAGCUCUCCAAUCUGGUAUUUGUCCUGGAAGAUGCAAAGAGGGGGAGAGCUGCCUCUCUGCUGUUUCCUAGACCUGAGGUAUUGAGGACGUAAAUCAAAUCCUUGUACUGGAGGAGCAUCACAUGGGAAACAUACACUUCAAAAGAGACUUUAAUGGAGGAAUGUUUCAAAAGAGCAAGGCUGGACCUAUCAAGGGGCAGCAGUAGCCCUGUGUGGGGAAAAGUGCACAGGGAACUCUCUGGUGGGCUCUGUUUAUUGCAGAGGCCAACCAGCCUCCGAGAGCGACCAGGGUGGGUUUGGGUGCAGUGGAGAACGCGGGUGUUUGAAUCCCAGCCACAUCUGCUCCCUUUCUUCUUAUUCUUGAUGAUGACAGUCAAAGGGACAGGGCUGAUGAACUGUGCUUAUUAAGUUGACUUGGUGGUGAUGAGAAUGCUGUUGACAAAAAGGUUGUGGUAGACUUCAAAUGCACAUACUGCUGUCCUGAAGUCAGAGCUGCUCUUGCAAAGAGUUGGAAUUACUUUACCACUGAUGCAGGGUUCCCAGGGAGAGCCUUUUCAUCUGGAGGUGAGCACAGAGCAGGAGUUGAAAGCAAAGUGGAGAAACACAUCCACUGCCUCCAUAGGUGGGAGGUGGAGCACAUCAAAACAUCCCCCUGCAAGGGACCUGCUGAAUGAGGGGAUGAAAGGGAUGUGCUGGAGCAGCAGGCCCAUCUGCUCGCUAACAGGUGUUAUUCACAGCUCUCUAGAACCAUGGGGGAAUCUCCCAUUGCUGCACUAUGCUCCUCAUUGAUUCAUCUUGCCAUGAACUUUUGAGUAGGCUGCUUGCUGCUCCAUCCAGCCUACUCUCUAAUAGGAUGGACCCAGUCAAGUGGUCCUUAAUGGUACACAGACAUCCUAAUAACUUUGGUAAAUAGAAUUCUGGAGGUGACUGGCACUGUCUGUAGGUGCCAUAAGGGGGGAAAAGCAUUUCUAGAAUCCCAGGUGUCACUGCUGAAAUGUAUCAGAGAUUAACUACUGCUCUCCCUGCUCCUCUAUAGUGUUCUUCUCAGAGGAGCUCCCUCAGCAUGACAGACAAUACACUUCGGGUUUCCCUAGGUAAGAAUUUGACACCUUUCUCUGUACUUUUGCAGUAACUCCCUUCGUCCUGUCUGAAAGUCCCUCUCUGCAUCAGCUGUGCAUUGCUCCCACAAGAGCUUGUCUUCAGCAGGGAAGCCAUUUCAUCACGUUCCCUUACUGCUGGCUCCCCAAAGACAGAGUUACAGAGGGAGUCGGCAGAUCUAACGGGUCUUUGUUUUGUUGAAUGGGUCCGUACACGUGGGAAGAUUUGUCCAUUCUCUGCCCUUUAUGAAGUUACUUCAAGUUAAAAGCAGUAUUUAUUUUUUCUUGGUAGAUAAAGAGUAAAGAAGUAAGUGAAACAUCAUUUACGUUCAGGAGCAGCUGAGCUGGGAGCCGUGCUAGCCACGCCAGCAGCCUCAGCAGGAAUUAGGUUAUGUUAUAAAGUGAGUUUAAGUCUGAUAGCCAAAUGGAGCCUCUAAGCCAUCAGUCUGGUUAUUUGUGCUAAGGUCAAUAGUGUCCAGGAAGAGUAAUGAACAAAUCCUGCUCUUCUGCAGAUGAAUAGCCCUUUUUGCCUGUUUACCAGCCCAGCACUGUGUGUUUCCCAAGUGGGACCCCAACAAAUGCUGCUUUUGGCCAAGUUUUCUGUGCAGUGGGGUAACAGAAAGAUUUUAGGGCCCAGUUAUCAACAGGUUAUCAUCAGCGGAGUAUCUAAUCCCAGUAGUACAUUAAAUGAUGUGAAGUAAUUUGUGCUGUUUGUAACAGCUCUUCUAAUAGGCAAUGGAUUCAGGUGGAGCCAGGUGAAGGUUUGUGUCCUGGCUGCC